rnacentral:lncRNA from 1 species
AGGAGAGAGGGGUGGAUGGCGCGUGGCUGCCGGGCACCCGGUCCAGGCUCCACCUAGACGUGCUCUACCUUCAUCCCCCUGCCUCUGAAAGGCCGCGUGGACAGGAGGCCCCCCGAGGAAGGGCAAAGGUAGAAUGGAGUUUAAUUUCCAUUUUAAAUUCACGUGGAAAAUUUCUCUCUGAUCAUCUGCAACUGAGGAUCUGAAAUUGUUAUCUGCAAAGACACCUACUCCCCAUGCCAUAGGUAAGCAAUGCUCCUAAUUUUUUUAUGUAUCCUUCCAGAAUUUCUUUAUGCAUAUAUAUGUUAAUUUGGCUAGAGAUUCUUCUUCUUUUUAAAAAUUUUUUUAUUAGAGGAUAGUUGAUUUACAAUGUGCUAAUUUUGGAUAGAGAUUCUUAAUACAGCUUUUUUGGAGCUCUAUCUCUAGGAAGGAAAUUAGUCGAAACUCAAUGACAUAGGGCUCUGAAGAUUUCCCCUAAUCAAGCGUAUGUAUGGGGGGCGAGUGGGCAUGAGGUACACCUCUCUGAAGGGGGAGAGCUUUGAAACAUGAAUAUGUAAAACAGUAAUUGAUAAAGCUCAUUACGAAGUGGCCAAGGAAUGCACUAAAGAGGAAAGUUGCCCCAAAUCUCUCUACCCCCAAAUAAUAAUAAUUCAUAUCAAUUGAAUAUCACAUCUGGGCCAGUGAGGUCCAGGAGAACUUUAUGUGAUAGUGGAAAUAUUUUCUCUGCUGUUUACAAUAACUACUUAUGCCUGUGGAGUGCUUGAAAUGUGGCUAGUGCAACUGAGGAUCUGAAAUUGUUUAUUUUACUUAAUUUUAACUUAAAUAUACCCAGCCACGUGUGUCUAGUGCCUGUUGUACUGGGUAGCGCAGCUCUAGACCCUUUGCAGUGCGUAUGUGUUAGUGGAAGAAUGUAAAGAGGCCGGCGAGGCCGACUAUUUUAGCACUGCCUGCCAGAAGCCUCAGAAGUGUGAUUACUAAUUAGCCUAGGAAUCCUGCUUGUGGGAAUUAUCUUAAAGUAAUGGUUAUGAAUUUGCUCAAACCUAGCUCUGAGAGUAUUUAUUAACAUGAAAAACCAGAACAUUGUAGAAAAAUGUUUAUUGAUGUGGGAAUGUGUUCACAACUGUCUGUUAAGUGAAAGGCAGGUUGUAAGGCAGGAUGAUUUCAUUAAAAUAUAAAGAGCCUAGAAAGAUAUACUGCAAACUGCUCAGUAAAUGGCAGGUACUCAGUAAAUAUGUGUUGAUGAAUGAGUAAAGGUUAAUAAGAGCACUGAGUGGUGAGAUGAUGCAUGAGUUUAUAUUUUUCUUCUGCUCCCUUAUUUAUAUUUUCUAACUACCCAUGGUAAAUACAUAUACCUUUGUAAGAAGGAAAAACAUGUAUUGAGAAGUAUAGUUGCUGGGUCGUAAUAUUUCAGAGCUGGAAGGAACUUUGGAGACAAAGGCACACAUGGCCAGUUAAUGGCAGAAACCCAGAUUUCUCAACUAUACACAAACAUCUUCCGAGCCAAGGAGAAAAGAUUGCUGGAUGGUCUCCUGUCCUGGACUGUCCCUGGCCAGGACAGAGGCUCUCAGCAUGGCAAUUCAGGAGUGGAUUUAGAGAAGAAGGAACAAAGGGUAUCAUGCUUCUCAACAAGAUACAAAACAGGAUGAAAAAUCUCACUAAUAAACUCUGGGCAUCAUGAUGAGGCUUUAGCUGGGCCUGCUUACCCCCAAAGCCCCCUCACUGGUGAAUUCUUCCAAACAUUUUAAGAGGAAUUAAUCUGAUCUUUCUCAAAUUCUUGCAAAAAUUAGAAGAGGAGGGAACAUUUCCAAACUCAUUUUACGGCAUUAGUCUUACUCUGAUACCAAAACCAGACAAAAACACCACCAGAAGAGAACAUUAUAGGCCAGUAUCCCUGAUGAACAUACAUACAAAAAUCCUCAACAAAAUACUCACAAACUGAGUUCAACAAUAAAAGGAUCAUACGCCAUGAUCAAGUGGACUUUUUUCCAGGGAUGCAAGGAUGGUUCAACAUAUGCAGAUCUAUCACUGUGAUACAGCACAUUAACAAAACAAAGGAUAAAAGCCAUAUGAUCAUCUCAGUAGAUGCAGAAAACAACAUUUGACAAGAUUCAACAUCCAUUUAUGCUGAAAACUCUCAACAAAGUGGCUAUAGAGGGAAUGCAUCUCAACAUAAAGCCGUAUGUGACAAGCCCACAACUAACAUCAUACUCAUUGGUAAAAAACUGGACGUUUUCUUUCUAACAUCAGGAGCAAGACAAGCAUGCCCACUCUUGCAGCUUUUAUUCAGCAUAGUAUUGGAAGUUGUAGCAAGAACAAUUAGGAAGCUAUAUUAUCUUCAUAAUUUUUCUGAUUAUCUAAAACGAUUCUACAAAAUAAGGGUCUAUUAAAACAUUAAUAAUCUAGGCCCUUCUCUCAAGGAAUGAAGUAGCUGGAGGCCUUAAUUCCAAGUUGGUUUCCUGGGUUCAAACUUUGGUUCCACCAGGACCUGGCAGCGGGGCCCUAGAGAGGGCCCUUUUGGCGGCCAGUUUCUUCUUCCAUCAAGUGGGGUAAUACGCAGACCUACCUCACGGGGGCGCUGUGAGAACCAAAUGAGAUACUUGGUACAAAAUGUCAGUAACACCCCGUUUCCAUUUAGAAAUCAAGGCAGAUAAUAAAGGGGUUGAGAGCAUGCAUUUACGACCAGACAGUCUGGAUUCAAAUCCUGGUUCCUCCAGGGCCUGCUCAUAAAAUUGUGGGCUGGUCAUUUGUUCUAAGCCUGUUUCCUUAGCUAUCAAAUGGGAUGAAUAGCACCCACCCACAAGGGGGGUUGGGAGGAUUGAUUGGGCCCCUGCGUGCAAAGCACCAGCACAGUGUGUGUGCAACAUAAGCAUUUGACCCGUCGGAGCUCAGCGAGGAAAGUAGAUGUGCAGCAAGAAUCCAAGAGGGGAGGAAAUAAAUACGAAGGCUUCCCCCAGGAGGCGGUAGAAAGGGGCCCACUCUGGCUUCUGCACUGGGGCAGCUGAUUGGCCCGCUUGACGGUCCUCCCAGGUCCUGUGUGACCUCUUCUUCCACCCCGUGAGGUCCUCUCAGGUCCCCAGCAUUGGAACAAAGCCUCGGUCUGCUGUUCUGCUCCUGUUCUCUUUCUGAACUCUGAUUCGGCCCUUAUCUCAGCCAGCUUUGCCCUGCUUGGCUGCCUGUCACAUUCAAUUCCAUUCCAGGGCUUUCAUCCUGCCCUCGGCCGAGUGUCCCUGAGUCUGAGGCUCUGGGACGUAGGGCCUGGUCUCUGCUGUCCUUGGCUUACACAAGCCUGAGCACUGUGUCUGGAACACAGCAACUUCUCGGUUCAUGGAGGCAGAACAGAAUAAAAUAAUUGCAAAGCCAAUUUCCAGGCCUUGAUGUAGCUGGGUUUCAAGGCACUGAGACACAAGGGUACGCGUCCCCCAUCAAAACAUAUCUUCCUUCUCUGGAUUCCCUCUAGUCCCAGAUUCUACGAGUAGAACUUCUUUGCUUUGGCUUAGGCUAAAUUAGGACCUUGCGCCUGAUAAAAAUGCAACAUUUUCUCUAUCAUUCGUCUUAGCAGGGAACAGACAGUACAUUCAAAAGGGUUUAAGUGAAAAAUAAAAUCAGGCAAUUGGUGACAGGACUAUUUGCGGUGAAAUGGGCAGGAUGGAGGAAACAUCAGGGUUGGCGAGGGGCUCUGGGACUUGUGGCGGUGGGCAGUUGUUAGUGUCUUAGGGUGGAAGGGCCAAAGGGAGCCCCAUGAGCGCUGAGCUGCGGAGGAGCCACCUCAAGGGGCACGAGGCUGCAGAGAUGCAGCUGCUGCCCAGUGGUGUGAAGCUGCAGUGGGGAUGGGACAUCUCCAUGCUCUUCUCCCCUCGCCCUCAGAUCGCCUGGCAGUGACCUCACUGGCCAAACCCAACCAGAAGCCAGAGGGUGAGGGGGCCUGGGUAACACGGUCCCCAGCGGUCAGCCUCUCUGGAACUGAGAAAGAAAGAAGAGGAGUCUGGGUUGGGAGUGAGGGAGGAAAAGGAGAGAAAGCCUUGAGAGGUGACAUAUGCUAGUUUUAUCAGUCGUGUACAAUUCAGUGUAAAUAAAGGCAUCAGAUCCUUCAGGAAGCACAGAGAAAGGAGACUAGGGACCAGGGUCCCGAAGUGUUAGAAAGAAAAGAGCAUCACUGAUGGGGAACUGAUUUCCCUAACCCCGACCCCUGCUUAAAAAAAAAAAAAAAAA